rnacentral:rRNA from 1 species
CCUACGGGUGGCAGCAGUGGGGAAUAUUGGGCAAUGGGCGCAAGCCUGACCCAGCAACGCCGCGUGAAGGAAGAAGGCUUUCUGGUUGUAAACUUCUUUUGUCAGGGAAGAGUACACGACUGUACCUGACUAAUAAGCCACGGCUAACUACGUGCCAGCAGCCGCGUCAAUACGUAGGUGGCAAGCGUUGUCCGGAUUUACUGGGUGUAACGGGCGUGUAGCCGGGUUGACAAGUCAGAUGUGAAAUCCUGAGGCUUAACCGCAGAACUGCAUUUGAAACUGUUGGUCUUGAGUAUUGGAGAGGCAGGCGGAAUUCCUGGUGUAGCGGUGAAAUGCGUAGAGAUUAGAAGGAACACCGAUGGCGAAGGCAGUCUACUAGGCAGCAACUGACGGUGAGGCGCGAAAGCGUGGGGAGCAAACAGGAUUAGAUACCCGAGUAGUC